rfam:Oryza sativa (indica cultivar-group) chromosome 1, whole genome shotgun sequence.
AAUAAGUGUACUUUUACACUAUUCAUCUUCAACGUUUGACCGUUCGUCUUAUGUGAAAUUUUUUUAUGAUUACUAUUUUAUUUGUUAUUAGAUGAUAAAAUAUGAAUAGUACUUUUUUGUGUGUGACUAUUUUUUUAAAAAAAUUCAUAAAUUUUUCAAAUAAGACGGACGGUUAAACGUUGGACACGGAUUUUCACUGCUGUACUUAUU